rnacentral:rRNA from 1 species
UGACGUACUUGUACUGAUUGAGAUUUUAACACGAAGUGAGUGGCGAACGGGUGAGUAACACGUGGGUAACCUGCCCAGAAGUAGGGGAUAACACCUGGAAACAGAUGCUAAUACCGUAUAACAGAGAAAACCGCAUGGUUUUCUUUUAAAAGAUGGCUCUGCUAUCACUUCUGGAUGGACCCGCGGCGUAUUAGCUAGUUGGUGAGGUAAAGGCUCACCAAGGCAGUGAUACGUAGCCGACCUGAGAGGGUAAUCGGCCACAUUGGGACUGAGACACGGCCCAGACUCCUACGGGAGGCAGCAGUAGGGAAUCUUCCACAAUGGACGCAAGUCUGAUGGAGCAACGCCGCGUGAGUGAAGAAGGGUUUCGGCUCGUAAAGCUCUGUUGUUAAAGAAGAACGUGGGUAAGAGUAACUGUUUACCCAGUGACGGUAUUUAACCAGAAAGCCACGGCUAACUACGUGCCAGCAGCCGCGGUAAUACGUAGGUGGCAAGCGUUAUCCGGAUUUAUUGGGCGUAAAGCGAGCGCAGGCGGUCUUUUAAGUCUAAUGUGAAAGCCUUCGGCUCAACCGAAGAAGUGCAUUGGAAACUGGGAGACUUGAGUGCAGAAGAGGACAGUGGAACUCCAUGUGUAGCGGUGAAAUGCGUAGAUAUAUGGAAGAACACCAGUGGCGAAGGCGGCUGUCUGGUCUGCAACUGACGCUGAGGCUCGAAAGCAUGGGUAGCGAACAGGAUUAGAUACCCUGGUAGUCCAUGCCGUAACGAUGAUUACU